AGCUCCAAUAGCGUAUAUUAAAGUUGUUGCAGGUAAAAAGCUCGUAGCUGGAUUUCUGGUGGGAGGGAUUGGCCUAGCACUAUGUGCGGGAACUUGUAUCCUAUCCAGCCAUCCUUGGGUGGAUCUUGUCUGGCAUUAAGUUGUCAGUCAGGGGAUGCUCAUUGUUUACUGUGAAAAAAUUAGAGUGUUCAAAGAAGGUUUAUGUCAUUGAAUAUAUUCUCAUGGAAUAAUAAGAUAGGGCCCCGGUACUAUUUUGUUGGUUUGCGUACCGAGGUAGUGAUUAAUAAGGACAGUUGGGAGUAUUUGUAUUCAGUAUUCAGUGGUGAAAUACUUAGACCUAUGGAAUACAAACUACUGAAAAAUCAUUUACCAAGGAUGUUUUCA
rnacentral:rRNA from 1 species